AAGAGAAUCACAGAGCUGUCUUUUCCGCUCCGUGAGUCUCCUGGACUGUCUGGUUAUCAAAGACAAGAUCUGUGGGGGCGGGGACGGCUCGAUCCGAUACUCAGGGUUGAUAUCGGUCAAGAAUCCCAAGACCGAACAUCGAAAAAAGGAACUUCAGCUCCUUUGAUCCGAUACCUAAUGCUCAUUGCUGAAACGAUCGUCUCAGCAAUGACAGCACACAGUACACUGAAUUGAUAUCAGUAUUGGCAUGAAUGAAUGUAUCGAGACAUCCCUACUUACAAACUUGUUGUCAUGAACAGUUUAGAUUAAAAAGCAUCUUCAGAGGACGUUUCACUCUUCUAGUUUGACAGCGUUUUCAAAGUGUGUGGAACCAAGGACUGCAUUAUAUUGAUGUGUAGCUCCAGUCGUCGUCUAACGGUUGGUUUUGUGACGCUUCAGAUUAAUGAUCAGACAAGCAUGGACGUCACUUUCUGCUCCCAAACAUUUGACGUUAGCAGCACAUGUGCUCCAUGGGAAACAUAGAGCCCAGUGUUAACAUUGGCAAAACACAAAAUGUCCCACCAUAAUUAACUUUGGUAUUUUAAUGAAAUUAGUUGACUGAUCCAUUGAAAAAUAAUUGAUGGUUUCAGAACUAAAAACUAGCAUUCCUUUAUGUUGAAUCGUAUCGCAGUCCGAUGAUUGAGCGGGUCCCGCACUAAUAUUAUAGCAGACAAAAAAAAUCAAGUUUUCUUUAUGAGAACACUAUUAAUAAAACUGUUUACAAA